rnacentral:rRNA from 1 species
CCUACGAGGGGCAGCAGUGGGGAAUAUUGGGCAAUGGGCGCAAGCCUGACCGAGCAACGCCGCGUGAAGGAAGAAGGCUUUCGGGUCGUAAACUUCUGUUCUGAGGGACGAAGAAAGUGACGGUAACUAAGUAAUAAGCCACGGCUAACUACGUGCCAGCAUCCGCGGUAAUACGUAGGUGGCAAGCGUUAUCCGGAUUUAUUGGGUGUAAAGGGCGUGUAGGCGGGAAAGCAAGUCAGAUGUGAAAACUCAGGGCUCAACCCUGAGCCUGCAUUUGAAACUGUUUUUCUUGAGUGCUGGAGAGGCAAUCGGAAUUCCGUGUGUAGCGGUGAAAUGCGUAGAUAUACGGAGGAACACCAGUGGCGAAGGCGGAUUGCUGGACAGUAACUGACGCUGAGGCGCGAAAGCGUGGGGAGCAAACAGGAUUAGAUACCCCGGUAGUC